CUUGCUUGGCAUAGAGCUCCUGCAGCUGAGCCUGGGUCAUCCCUGCCCUGCCCGGCUCUGGGUGCACCCUGCAAGGCUCCUGCUGGUGUCCCUGGAACAUGGGAGGCUGCUGAGUGUGAGUGGCGGUGUCCGGCAGGAGCUGGGUGGCAGGGAGGGCAUCCAUGGCUGCAGCCAACAAGGGCAACAAGCCCAGGGUCCAGAGGAGUAUCCGCUCUGCUUUGUGGCAGACCAUGAUACAGAGGGCUCCCAUAGCCACGUCUGCUUUGAUGAGAAGCUUCAUGACUCGGUGAUCAUGGUCACCCAGGACAGCGACAGCAGCUUUCUGGUCAAGGUUGGCCUCCUGAAGAUCCUGCGCAGGUAUGAGAUUACCUUCGCUCUGCCCCCGCCCAGUGCGCAGGCUGAGCAAGGACGUCCGCGAGGCACCUGUCCCCAGCCUCUGCAUGUCAAGCUCCUCAGUGUCGUACCUUUCCCUGAAGGUUACAGUGUCAAGUGUGAGUACUUGGCGCACAAAGAGGGCAUCCUCAAAGCAGAGAUGCUGCCAGCCUGCGAAGGUGGCGCCGGUGCCUGUGUGCGCAUGGUGGUGCAGGCGGGCGCCAGAGGCAGACACCACCGCAUGCCCACCUGCGGGAUGGUGUCAAGGGCUCGCGCACAACACUGGAAUAAGACUCGCAGCACAGCCACCAGAACGGCUUUGACUGAGGCCCCUGCUCGCCCCAGCCCCCAGCCUUAAACCCCGCCUGGUCCCCGGGACACGCUGCGUGAUGGUGGCUUCCUCGCCCCUCUCUGGGGUGGGCAUGGGGUGGAGUGGCCCUGGCCAGCCUCUCACCUCUGCCUUCAUUCCUGCCACCACCCUGCCUCUCCCAUGUCCUCUUCCACUUCCUCCUUUCCGUGUGCCUCAGGCUCCUGUCAGAAGACAUGGGUUGAGCCCACAAGGAGACUGUCUGCGGAAGGGAUGGGGAGGGCCUGGGGUGGGUUCUCCCCACUGCCCACCCCGAGCCACAGAGGCUCCAGCCAGGGUCUGGGAGAGGACGAAGCUUGCUCUGUGACAUCGUUGCCCCAUCACUGCUGCUGCUGCCUGGCAUCAGCCACCUCUCCUGCCCCUCCCUCUUCUCCACUGCUGUGCACAAUGAGUCCCCACCUCCCACCCCUCAGGUCUGUGUUACUCGGUUUUUAAGUGACUGAUUGGGAUAGAACCCUAAAGAAAUAAAACUUCCAGUGGAU